UUACUUACUUUUAUUUAUAUGUAUAUGUGUAUGUACCUACAUGAAUGGAGUCCAGCAGAGGGCUUGGAUCUCCUGGAAUUGGACUUACAGGUGUUUGAGUACCACCUGAUGUGUGUUCUGGGAACCAAACCUGGCUUCUCUGCAGUAAGUGAUCUUAACCACUGAGCUAUCUCUCCAGUCCCCAAAUACACUUUGAAUAACAUAAUUUUACUUAAUACAUUUCAGGUCAUGAAGCACUCACUCUGCAUAUUAACUCAUUUAAUACCCUCCACGAACCUAGGAUUCUGCCAGAUCAAUGAAAGGAUUACUAUACGCUGAUAGUUUUCAAUGGAUGAGCAGAAGCAAGGUUCAAGAGACAGAAGCUGAUGUCAUUAUCAUGCCCACAGGAGAGAAGGGGAAAUCAAGCCCAUAGCAGUUACUCAUGUAUACCAGGGCAUGUGGUUUCUGAUGGUGCUCAGUUUGCAAGAAGGUACUUGUUCUAUAGACAAGAGUGUGCUCAGUCCAAACUGCAAAUUUAUCACACAAGACCACUGCUGACGUUUGCGGAGAUAGGCCCUUAAGGCUCUAGGCAGAAGGGCUGUCAUAACAGCCGUCGAGAGUCAUGGGUCAGAAGAUCUCUGAAAGCUACUGAAGAAUAUGCUGGAGAGGCUCUCAAGUGGGGCAGCAGAGGAUGGGCACCAAGAGUUACCCUAACAGCAGUCUUCAGGACAAUCUGGGCAUUGCUGGGCAGCGGGCCUUGCUGAUGGGUCUGGGCCUAGGAACCCUGCCAGCAGCAGUCCAGGUGUAUACAGCAGCUGUACCACAGGCAUUUCCAGGUGUAUACAGCAGCUGUACCACAGGCAUUUCCAGGUGUAUACAGCAGCUGUACCACAGGCAUUUCCAGGUAUAACCUGCCAUGUACUCAAGUGUUUACUCCACAGCCUGGGAAAUGUCCACACAGCCAGGAUGUGCUGAUCUGAAGGAAGGCAUGAGGAUGGUGAGCUUGGGUUCAUCUCCUGACCUAAGAACAGAGUGUAAAUUGGCCCUCUCAUUACAGGCCAGUGAUGUGGAGGGACUAGGAGGUUCUAGUCAGGGCGCAGCAUGAGAUCAGCUGAGGGAAGCCUCAGAAGAAUGCUGGAGAGAGAGAGAGAGAUCCUGCAGGGGGAGGCCAGCUUCUAGUGUGACCUCCUGCAGGAGAGAGGGAAGAUCUCCUGACCAGUGAGGAGCUAGAGUCUUGUAUCUAGAUGCUAGGAUCUUUACAAAGGCUAAUUAAGUCCCUUACAAUUCAAACUCUUUUUCUGCCACUCCAACCCACCCCUUUUCACAUGUUGCUUCUGGAGGCUGGAAUACCUUGGAGCCCAGAGAGCAAACUACCGUGGUCUCCAUCCAACACCUCCUUCCCUUCUCCCACAAACCACUCAUCUGCUGCAUACUCUUGGCAUGCAGCUCCCCACCGCGACCUUUUUAGUACUUAUGACUAGUUAACAGUUACUUGGUAAGUGUAUGCCUUACUACAGAGUAAAGAUUCUAAGAGGGCUGAGAUUUUUUUUUAGCAGUUUCCCAGAUUGGUUAGCUCUGAAAUUGCCACAAACAUUUCCUUUACCGUGGUACCAUCACUAAACAAAUGUGCCUGGUUCUAUUCCUGGCUUUCAGGGGAGAGCACGGGGGUGGCAUGGACACUUCUGCUAUCUCCCACUGGGGGAAAAGCACCAAAGUGCCUCAAAGUCAAGAAGGCUGCUGUGACUUGGAAAAAGGAAAAACAAAGCCACCUCCACAAAAGAGCAUUUCUGGGGAUCUGCCGGUCAGGUGACAUUAUGCAAACUGAGA